GAUGAACGCUGGCGGCGCGCCUAACACAUGCAAGUCGAACGAUUAAAGCACCUUCGGGUGUGUAUAAAGUGGCGAACGGCUGAGUAACACGUGGGCAACCUGCCCCUUUCAUUGGGAUAGCCACGGGAAACCGUGGAUAAUACCGAAUACUUCGAGACUUCCGCAUGGAAGACUCGAGAAAGCUCCGGCGGAGAGGGAUGGGCCCGCGGCCUGUUAGCUUGUUGGUGGGGUAACGGCCUACCAAGGCAAUGAUGGGUAGCUGGGUUGAGAGACCGACCAGCCAGAUUGGGACUGAGACACGGCCCAGACUCCUACGGGAGGCAGCAGUGGGGAAUCUUGCACAAUGGGCGAAAGCCUGAUGCAGCGACGCCGCGUGCGGGAUGAAGGCCUUCGGGUUGUAAACUGCUUUCAGCAGGGACGAGGCGAAAGUGACGGUACCUGCAGAAGAAGCCCCGGCUAACUACGUG
rnacentral:rRNA from 1 species